AGAUUAUCAGCUAUCAGAUUAUCAUAUUUGAAUGGCUUUGCCUUGUACAUUGAGAUUACUCUGUACAUGAGUAAAGCUAUUCAUUGGGUACUCUUUUUGGUGUGAUUUUUCAGUAUUUAUUCAGUUCUCAGAUUUCAGAUUAUGGAUUCAGUUAAUUCAGUUUUCAGAAUAAAUCUUUCAGCUUCUAGUAUUGAACAGCAGCAAUAUUUCAUAAAUUUUCAUGAAUAUCAGAUUCUUUAUAAUUGUUAUACCUUACAGAUACUUAUCUAGAAUUUAGAACGAAGAAUUUUAUAAUGUAAUCAUGUUUAGUUUUUAAAGGCAUUACUAGAUUCAGAAAUUCUCAAGGAUUUAAUAAAGUUAAAAUUUUUAGAAAAUAUGCAUAAAUGGAAAAAGUUUACUUAUUUGGAAAUCAUUCGCUCACUGAGUUAUAAACUCAUAUAUUUUUAUCAUGCUUUCCUAUCAGGAGACCGUCAAUUUUGAGAUACUGGAAAAAGCCUGCUGAAGCGAAAGAGACUGUUUCAUAGUAUGUAAUCUAUAGUUGGGGAAUUCAUGUUUAUUAAGUACUUGUCUAAUAUUUGGAGUGUCAUGCACUUCGUAGAAAGGUUUUGACAUGAUGAUGUUGUAGAAGUACUCAAUCGAAUUUUGUUAUAUUUUGUUGUAGUUGUGGUGGUAUUAGAGGAUGUGGUGGUUUCCAAAACUUUUGGUUUAAAUGUCUAUUUGAGAUUUUGAUGAUUUUUCAGGUUGGUUUUCUCCAUGUUACAGAGGAAACUCUGUCAAAAUUUUUAUAGAAUUAUGUCAUGGUCAAGUAGGUCACGUUUGCCUUGGUGGCGGGUCCGGCAUUUAGCUGACAUCUACCAUCAGCGCACGACACAUGUCGAGUCAAUUUGGUUAAAUAGGGACGGGUCGUGUCAUUUGGUAUCAGAGCAUGGUCUUAGAGUUUAUGAGUAACAUUGUAUGUAUCUGAUGUUUGUAUGUUACACAUUAUUGUAGGUAAGUCAUGCGUGGUAGAGGUAGAACUCGCAGGCACCAAAAUCCAGUAUCUCAAGCUCCAAAUACUCCUGAAGAAAGACAUGUUGGAGGGGUCAGUAGGGCUGCUGAAUCAGUGCACCAGUCUCAGGUGCAACCUGACCCCAUCACUGAUAGAAUAGCUGCAGCUAUUGCUUCCCUUCUACCAAAUACCGAUAGAGAUAACUCUAUUGAGAGAGCGAUGAAACUUGGAGCAAAAUUUUUUAUGGGUACAUCUAAUCCAGCUGAUGCCGAACUUUGGAUGAAGACUUUGGAAAGCAUAUUUGAUGUGAUAGAAUGCUCCGAGGAUAAAAAAAUUACGCAUUGCUAUAUUUUUAUUGAAAGGUGGGGCUGCUGAUUGGUGGAUUUCGUUUCGAAGUCGGUAUCCAGAUCCUAGUGUUAUCACCUGGACUAUUUUUAAGGAAGCUUUCUUUGAGACAUAUUAUCCACCAUUUUAUCGUGAUGCUAAACAAAACGAAUUUUUAAGAUUGGUUCAAAGGUCUAUGUCAGUUGCUGAAUAUCAUGUAAAGUUUGUUGAACUGUCUAAGUAUGCAAGUGCCUUGGUUGCUGAGGAGAGAGAUAGGUGUAGACGGUUCGAGCAAGGGUUGAGAGCUGAAAUUCGGCCUAUGGUUACUGCUCAUGGGCAUCAAAAUUUUGGUUUGUUGGUUGAGGCGGCAUUAAGGGUUGAGACAGCUAUUCGUGAAGGAAGUAAUCAAGGAGAACAGGUGACCUUUCGAGGUGGUAGUAGUCAAUCAGGAGCUUCAGGAGAAAGGUUCAAGAAGAACAGAAAAGGAUUUUGGCUAGGUGCCACUAAAUCUGGCAAUUUUAAAUCUAAGUCUGGGAGUUUUAGCUCUAGUCAGGGAUCAAGACAUAGCCAGAGUUUUGGACAACAAUUAGUGGGGAGCCAUUCUCCUUUACAGAGAAUUCAAGGAGCGAGGCAGAGUGAGGCUUCUGAUCAUAGGAGCUUUCCACAGUGCCAGUCGUGUGGGAUGUUUCAUCUAGGCUAGUGUCUUCGAGGGGUUGGAGUUUGUUAUCAGUGUGGUCAGAUGGGACACAUAAGGAAGGAUUGUCCAGCCAAUCUCAGCAGAUUGGAGCAUCUCAGAUAGUAUCUCCUCAGCCAGGGAUCGGUAUGACCAGACAGAACAGGGAUCAAAUAGCUCCAUCAGCAGGGUCGGUGGGGGCUACACAAUCUAAUUCUGCUAGGGGUAGUGCUUCUAGACAGGGAGCCUAGGCAGGUCGGUCCAGGACUCAGGGCAAGGUGUUUGCUAUGACACAAUAGGAGACAGAGGAGUCACCAGAUGUGGUAGUGGGUAUGUUAUCUAUUUUUGGUAGAAAUGUUCGUUCUUUAAUUGAUUCGGGUGCUACAUAUUCCUUUAUUUCUCACACACUUGCUAGCUAUGCUGAUCCAAUGUCAGAGCCUUUAGAUAAUGAAUUGGUAGUAGUAACUCCAGUAGGGGACUCACUUUUAGCAAAUCGUGUAUAUAAAGAUUGUGGGAUUAGAGUGAACAAUCAUGAGUUGAAAGCAAAUUUAAUUCCUCUUGACAUUCAUGAUUUUGAUGUUAUUUUGGGGAUGGAUUUUCUAUCUAAUCACCGUGCUUCGGUUGAUUGUUUUCGCAAGGAAGUGGUAUUUAGAAGUUCAGGAGAGCUUGAAAUUGUUCUCACUGGGGAGCUCAGAAUUUUGCCAUCUUGUGUAAUAUCUGUCCUGAAUGCUCAAAAGGGUUGUGAUGCAUAUUUGGCCCAUGUAAUUGAUACUCAGAUUACAAAGCGGGCAAUUGAUGAUAUAUCAGUUGUGCGAGAUUUUCCCGAUGUCUUUCCAAAAGACCUUCCGGGAUUACCCCCAGACAGGGAGAUAUAAUUUUGUAUUGAUUUGAUUCCCAGGACAGCACCUAUUUCACAGGCACCUUAUCGAAUGGCUUUGAAAGAGUUGAAGGAAUUAAAGGUACAAUUACAAGAAUUGAUAGAUAAGGGUUUCAUUAGACCCAGUGCAUCCCCAUGGGGAACACCUGUAUUAUUUGUGAAUAAGAAAGAUGGCACUAUGAGAUUAUGUAUUGACUAUAAACAGUUGAUUAAGAUGACUAUUCGCAAUAAGUAUCCUCUGCCCCGUAUUGAUGAUUUGUUUGAUCAACUUCGAGGUGCCUCGGUAUUUUCAAAGAUUGAUUUACGUUCAGGUUAUCAUCAGCUCAGAAUUAUAGAUGUUGAUGUACCAAAGAAUGCUUUUCGGUCUCGGUAUGGUCAUUAUGAAUUUUUUGUGAUACCGUUUGGAUUAACUAAUGCCCCAGCUGCAUUUAUGGAUUUGAUGAAUAGGGUGCUUUACCCAUAUUUAGAUAAGUUUGUGAUUGUUUUUAUAGAUGAUAUCUUAGUUUAUUCUCGCAGUAGAGAUGAGCAUGCUGAGGAUUUGAGGAUUAUUUUGCAGACUUUGCGAGAUAAGCAGUUGUAUGCUAAGUUCAGCAAAUGUGAAUUUUGGCUGGAUAAAGUUGUAUUUUUGGGUCAUGUUAUCUUAGCUGAAGGUAUUUAUGUAGAUUCUCAGAAAAUUGAAGCAGUAACAAAAUGGGAACGCCCUACUAAUGAUACAGAAGUACGGAGUUUCCUUGGGCUAGCAGGUUAUUAUCAUCGUUUUGUAGAGAAUUUUUCCAAAAUUGCUCUUCCUUUGACUAGUUUGACUCGGAAGAACACAAAAUUUGUGUGGAAUAAGGAAUGUGAAAAGAGUUUUCUAGAGUUGAAGAAAAGGUUGACUUUUGCUCCUAUACUUACUCUUCCAUCUCCGGGUGAAGAGUUUGUGAUUUAUAGUGAUGCUUCACGUCAAUGAUUGGGUUGUGUUUUAAUGCAAAAUGGGAAAGUUGUAGCUUAUGCUUCAAGACAAUUAAGGAAGCAUGAGUUAAAUUACCCAACUCAUGAUUUGGAGUUAGCUGCAAUAGUGUUGGCAUUGAAGAUUUGGAGGCAUUAUCUUUAUGGUGAGAAAUGUCAAAUAUUUACUGAUCACAAAAGUUUGAAGUAUAUUUUUGAUCAGAAGGAACUGAAUCUGAGGCAGCGAAGAUGGUUGGAGUUGAUUAAGGAUUAUGAUUGUAAGAUUGAUUACCAUCCAGUGAAAGCUAAUGUGGUUGCAGAUGCUCUCAGUAGAAAGACUAGUUCUUCCUCUUCAGCCAGUGCAGUUUAUGCUUCUUUGAUUUGUGAAUUCAAGAAAUUACAUGCUCAUUUGUUAGCUACUACUUCAGGUGCUGUAUUAGCUCAUUUUCAGGUGAGGCCUACUUUGAUUGAUAAGGUUAGAGAAGCUCAAUCUCAAGACCAGACAUUGAGAAUAUUGAAAGCGGAUGUUAGUACUGGGUUAAGAACGGAUUAUGUGAUUAGAGAUGAUGGGGCGUUGGCUAUGGGUAAUAGAUUAUGUGUUCCAGAUAUUCCAGAAUUGAAGAAAGAGAUUUUGGAAGAGGCACACAAUUCUGCUUAUGCUAUGCAUCCAGGUAGUAUUAAAAUGUAUCAUACAUUGAAAGAUCAUUAUUGAUUGCUUGGUAUGAAAAGAGAGAUAGCAGAUUUUGUAUCCAAAUGCCUUAUAUGUCAGCAGGUAAAGCCAGUUCGUCAGAAAAAGUAGGACUUUUACAGCCAUUACCUAUUCCAGAGUGGAAAUGAGAACACGUUACUAUGGACUUUUUAUUUGGUCUUCCUCGUACUCAAAAUGGUCAUGAUGGAGUUUGGGUGAUUGUAGAUCGUUUGACCAAAACUGCCAAGUUCUUGCCGAUCAAAGCCACUUAUACUUUAAAUAAGUUGGCAAAGUUGUAUGUGGAUGAGAUAGUGAGCUCAUAUGGUACUCCAUUAUCUAUUGUAUCUGAUAGAGACCCUCGUUUUACAUCUAAAUUUUGGCCCAGUUUACAAGAAGCCAUGGGUACUAAACUAUAUUUCAGUACAGCUUUUCAUCCUCAAACAGAUAGCUAGUCAGAGAGGACCAUACAGACUCUUAAAGAUAUGUUGAGGGCAUGUGUUUUAGAGUUCAAAGGUAGCUGAGAUUCACAUUUGUCAUUGAUGGAAUUUGAUUACAAUAACAGCUACCACUCCAGUAUAGAAAUGGCUCCUUUUGAAGCUUUAUAUGGUCGAAAGUGCAGAACACCAGUUUGUUGGGAUGAAGCUGGUAAGAUGAAGUUAAUAGGACCUGAAUUGGUUCAAAUGACAUCUGAAAAUGUGGAAUUGAUCAAGGAAAAGUUGAAAACAACUCAGAAUAGACAGAAAAGAUCUUGAAUUUGCAAUAGGAGAUAAAGUUUUUCUUAAAUUAUCUCCUUGGAAAGGGGUAUUGAGAUUUGGUAAGUGAGGAAAGUUAAGUCCACGAUAUAUUGGACCAUAUGAGAUUAUUGAACGGAUUGGCCCAGUAGCAUAUCGAUUAGAUUUGCCAACUGAAUUAUCUCGAAUCCAUGAUGUUUUCCAUGUCUCUAUGCUUCGCAAGUACAUUGUAGAUCUUUCUCAUAUUCUAGAGUCUCAUCCAGUCCACUUGAAGGAGAAUUUAACUUAUAUAGAGGAGCCAGUGAAAAUUUUAAACAAAAAGGUGCAAAUUCAGCUGAACAAGACGGUCUCACUUGUUAAGGUACUUUGGCAGAAUCAGACAGUAGGUGAGGCUACAUGGGAGCAUGAGGAUCAGAUGCGUGUUCAAUAUCCUCAUCUAUUCGUUAUCUAAUCAGAUGCCAGUUGAAUUUCGAGGACGAAAUUCUUUUAUGGAGGUAAGAUUGUUACAACCCACAAUUUUAUCUAGUCAAGGUCAAUAGUGGAAUUUUCAAAGUCAAUUCAAAUGAGGACUUGUAUGAAAUAAAUCAUUUUUAUUGAGACUCGAUUGACCAAAUCAUUUUAUUUGGGUUUAUCUUAUAAAUUAUAAAUAUAUUUUGAAGGUUAAAUUGGAUACAUUUUUAAGUUGGAAACUUACUUAUAUAAUUUUGGAAGUGUUAGGAUUAAAUGUGAUAUGAAAAAGAGAGUUGAAGGACUUAGUUUGCGAUUAUGGGUUAGUGGACCAUUUAAUUCAACCAUUUGACCCAUUCUCUCUCAAUUUCACAGCAAAAUACACACACACAGAGUAACGAGAGAAGCAGAGACCGGCAGUGAAGGGAGAAAAAGGGAAAGAAGAAAGGAAAAAGAAAAAGGAAAAGGAAAAGAAGAAAGGAAAAAGAAGAAGAAAAGAGGUGAGGUUAAUCUCUUCAAGUUGGGUUUAAUUUUUCCACUUUGUUUUUGAGUGAUUAAGUAUGAUUUAUAUUAAAUUUUUAGGGUUUUAACUUGUAGAAUAAAAUGUCGAAUUUCAGGUGAUAUUUGUACGAAUUGGAGCUCAAGUUUGGGGAUUUCUUCAUUUCCAAUUUUAGCUAGGUAAGGGAUAUUAUUUUAGCAAACCCUAGAAAUUUUAUUUGGGAUUUUUGGGAUUAAGUAUGUUUAUGGAAAUAAUGAUGUUGAGAAAAUAAUAAAUUGGAAGCAUGAAAUUAUGGAACAAGAGGAAAAAUUUAAUUAGUUGAAUUAUAGCAACUUCUUGUCACUUGAAUGAUGUGGAUGUCAUAGUGAUGUUUGGAAGUGAAGGUUAUGUUGAUAAAUUAGUUAUUAGUCAAUGGAUUAUAAAGUGUGAUUAGCUCCAAUUAAUAAAGGAAAAUUUGAGAACUUAUUCAAGUGUCCAGAAAAUUUAAUUUUAAGUUCUAUCAUUAGAUAUUAAGGUUUCUUGAUUAGAUAGAGGAUAAAUUGGUUAUUAAUAUCGUAUUUCAUUAGAAACGUUUAUCAGCCAAUCUAGCUUGUAGCUCAUACCUUGUGAGUGGAUAAAACUUAUUUUUCAAAAAUAAGUCUUCUUUAAAUUUUAAAGUUAUUUAUUUUAUAAAGUUGACUUCAUAGCAUGAUUUUUAGAAUAAAAUGGAUUUUAUUAUCAAUUGCUCUUAAAGUUAAAUUCAGUUCAGUUAAAUUAUUUUAGUAGCAUGUAUUAUAUGCUUAUUAGAUGUUUCAGUAUUGUUAAAGUUAUUUCUAAAAACCACCAAAAAGUACCCAGGUGAUUUUACCCCAGUCUGCACUGAUGUGAAUGUGUUUCUACAUUGUAUGACUAGUUACAGUGAUUUUAUCCGCUCUGCACUGUCAUGAAUGUGUUUCCAUAGUGUAUUACCAGAUUAUCAGAGGUCUUUGAGACCCACUCUCGUACACACAUAGGCUUUGGGUCGUGUACUAGGGUGAUUAGCCUUUGGGGCAGCUCUGCGUACGUAUGACCAGAUUAUCAACUAUCAGAUUAUCAUAUUUGAAUGGCUUUGCCUUGUACAUUGAGAUUACUCUGUACAUGAGUAAAGCUAUUCAUCGGGUACUCUUUUUGGUGUGAUUUUUCAGUAUUUAUUCAGUUCUCAUAUUUCAGAUUAUGGAUUCAGUUAAUUCAGUUUUCAGAAUAAAGCUUUCAGCUUCUAGUAUUGAACAGCAGCAAUAUUUCAUAAAUUUUCAUGAAUAUCAGAUUCUUUAUAAUUGUUAUACCUUACAGAUACUUAUCUAGAAUUUAG
rnacentral:lncRNA from 1 species